rnacentral:misc_RNA from 1 species
CAACCCUCAAGCCCCCGGGCUUGGCGUUGGGGAUCGGCACAAGGCUUAGGGGCUCCCCCAGGGGAGCCUCGACGGCCCGCCGUCCCCCAAAUUCAGUGGCGGUCACGUCGCGGCCUCCUAUGCGUAGUAGCAACACCUCGCACUGGAAGCCCCUCGCGUCCACGCCGUAAAACCCCCGACUUUUUAUCA